CGAUAAGCAAAAACGAAGACAUCGUGUGAAGGACUUUUAGAAACAGAGCGGCAUUUGGACGUUCAGCAAAGGGUAGGGUUUGGUCCGGGAUGUGCCCAUGGUACCGGAUGUUGAGGUCACUUGAGGUUGUGGUGUGAGGUUGUGAGGUUGGUUGAGAGGUCUACUAGGCUUCGAAGCAAACUGAACCAAACUCAUCACUGUCCGCGAAGCGUACACCACUAACCGGACCAAUCCUUGCACCCUGGACAGCUGCUGUGAUAAGAUUGAGCGGAUGGAACGGAGAAUGACACCCAUCAGUUAUCUCGAACGAUGGGGUUGGUUCAGUCUCCCAGGCUUGGCCCUGAAAACGUCCCGCCGGCCUGGAACGCCUGGGUGAGUUGGAGGCCUGAGGUCACUACGUGCCCAUCGUGCACCUGUACACGCUGCAGUAAUCAUUGCUGCGUGAUAAGUCUGCUGACUACUAUUAUCUGGAACCCGGGCGUACCAUGAUGGACUGGAGCGGAGUGCGUUAUCGGAUCGCUGGUUUGAUACCCGUAGAAAGGUUCGUUUUUGUUUAUCGAUGACCCAGUUUCCAGCUGUAACCGGAGCCACAGAACGUCAUAGUUGAGAUGUGCCUGGCGUGGGCAGAGCUCGUGAUACUGUAACGUUCUCGGUAGUUAUAUAAGCUGUGUUUACAAACAAUUGGCCAACCACAAAAGGUG